rnacentral:tRNA from 1 species
UCCCAAUUGGUGUAGUGGUUAACAUCGCCGUCUUUCACACGGCAGCCGGGGGUUCGAUUCCCCCAUUGGGAG